rnacentral:rRNA from 1 species
CGGCAGCACGGGUGCUUGCACCUGGUGGCGAGUGGCGAACGGGUGAGUAAUACAUCGGAACGUACCUUGUAGUGGGGGAUAGCUCGGCGAAAGCCGGAUUAAUACCGCAUACGCUCUGAGGAGGAAAGCGGGGGACCUUCGGGCCUCGCGCUACAAGAGCGGCCGAUGUCAGAUUAGCUAGUUGGUGAGGUAAAAGCUCACCAAGGCGACGAUCUGUAGCUGGUCUGAGAGGACGACCAGCCACACUGGGACUGAGACACGGCCCAGACUCCUACGGGAGGCAGCAGUGGGGAAUUUUGGACAAUGGGCGAAAGCCUGAUCCAGCAAUGCCGCGUGUGUGAAGAAGGCCUUCGGGUUGUAAAGCACUUUUGUCCGGAAAGAAAUCCUCUGGGUUAAUACCUCGGGGGGAUGACGGUACCGGAAGAAUAAGCACCGGCUAACUACGUGCCAGCAGCCGCGGUAAUACGUAGGGUGCAAGCGUUAAUCGGAAUUACUGGGCGUAAAGCGUGCGCAGGCGGUUUUGUAAGACGGAUGUGAAAUCCCCGGGCUUAACCUGGGAACUGCAUUCGUGA